ensembl:lncRNA
GAUCCUUCAAGUUUUGGGGCUGUUGCUGGGCAAUACGGACUUUCAACUCCCUCCAAAGAUUUUCUAUUGGAUUCAGGUCUGGAGACUGGCUAGGCCACUCCAGGACUUUGAGAUGCUUCUUACAGGGCCACUCCUUAGUUGCCCUGGCUGUGUGUUUCGGGUCGUUGUCAUGCUGGAAACCCAACCACGACCCAUCUUCAUUGCUCUUACUGAGGGAAGGAGGUUGUUGGCCAAGAUAUCGCGAUACAUGGCCCCAUCAAUCCUCCCCUCAAUACGAUGCAGUCGUCCUGUCCCCUUUGCAGAAAAGCAUCCCCAAAGAAUGAUGUUUCCACCUCCAUGCUUCAUGGUUAGGAUGGUUUUCUUGGGGUUGUACUCAUCCUUCUUCCUCCAAACACAGAAGACCAAAAAUCUCUAUUUUUGUCUCAUCAGACCACAUGACCUUCUCCCAUUCCUUCUCUGGAUCAUCCAGAUGGUCAUUGGCAAACUUCAGACGGGCCUGGACAUGCGUUGGCUUGAGCAGGGGGACCUUACAUGCGCUGCAGGAUUUUAAUCCAUGAGGGCGUAGUGUGUUAUUAAUGGUUUUCUUUGAGACUGUGAUCCCAGCUCUCUUUAGGUCAUUGACCAGGUCCUGCCGUGUAGUUCUGGGCUGAUCCCUCACCUUCCUCCUGAUCAUUGAUGCCCCACGAGGUGAAAUCUUGCAUGGAGCCCAUCAACAACAUCCUAAUACACCAGGGCCAUGCUUUGCUGGGCUCCCCCUCUGCUCUGUCCCAUGUCCUGGUGGAUGGGUGCGCCGUGUAUCCCAACUGUGAGGUGUGUGCCUGGGCACAGAGUCUAGGCUGUGUGUGGGACGCCAAGGAAAGAGCGUGUGUGGCGAAGUCUACACAAU